AGCAGCCGUGGUAAUUCCAGCUCCAAUAAUGUAUAUUAAAGUUGUUGCAGUUAAAAAGCUCGUAGUUGAAUUUCGAGACUGGCUUACUGGUCGUGCUAUUGUGCGUACUGGUAUAAUCAGUUUCUCCUUUCUGACAAACUAUAGUGCCAUUAAUUUGGUGUUAUAGGGAAUCAGGACUGUUACUUUGAAAAAUUAGAGUGUUUAAAGCAGGCUUACGCUUGAAUACAUUAGCAUGGAAUAACGGAAUAGGACGUUUAAUUCUAUUUUGUUAGUUUUUAGGAUCGACGUAAUGAUUAAUAGGGAUAGUUAGGGACAUUAGUAUUCAAUUGUCAGAGGUGAAAUUCUUGGAUUUUAUUGAAGACUAACUACUGCGAAAGCAUUUGCCAAGGACGUUUUCAUUAAUCAAGAAUGAAAGUUAGGGGAUCGAAACGAUCAGAUACCGCCGUAGUCUUAACCAUAAACUAUCGCCGAACUAGGGAUUUGGAAUGAUUGUUUAAUUUUUUAAUGAACUUC
rnacentral:rRNA from 1 species